UUUCUAGGCCUCAGCAUUCAGUUUGCUUGUAACCAGUCUGAUCUCAGAAACGAAGCAGCAUUAGGUGUUAUUAGUACUUGGUUGGGAGACUGCCUGGAAAUACUAGGUGCUUUAAGAC
rnacentral:rRNA from 1 species